rnacentral:lncRNA from 1 species
UGCGUGGUGCCUUGUGGGGCCUUGCUGAGUUUGGCUGCCUUGUAUUUACAAUGACAGUAUAGGCUUUGAGGAGAUUUUUCCGCCUUGGGAGAGGACGCCAGGAAGAGUCUUCUUCAAUGAUAACUGAGGUGAUGUUCAGGAGGACAGGGCAUGGUGGAAGAAGCUAAGAUUCUUAAGGUGGCUUUGUGCAGCCCCAAGAGUGCCGCUGUAUGUUCUGGUGAAGCAGCUGAGGUGGAGACUGGACAGAGCCAGCAUCCUGGGAGGAACUCACCAAGCCUGCAUUUGGAGAGCCGAUCUAGAUAAAUCUACAUCGAGGUUGCUUUGUGUGUACUGGUGAAUCCAGGAGACCCUUCAGACAUCUUGCUUCCAGCCUCAGAUGAACACAGAAAACAAGGGCAGAAGACAUCUUGAACAUUACUGAGGGUGGAGCUGGACCACUGAUGAAGCCUGCCUUAUGCCUGCACUCAGAUUUGUGUUUGACUUCUACAGUUCAAGUUGGGUGUUCUGAUAGUUAGAGCCAAGAAAACCAACCCAAGUAUGAGAAGGGCUCAUGAAUAUGUUCACCACCUUUAUUAACUCUUCACUUAUUGAAAUCAGAAAAAUUAGCAUAAAGUGUUUCAGUUGAAUUAGAAAUUAUUGCGAUUAUAAAAUUAUGAGGUGAAGAUCACUAUUUAAAUUAAUGCAACACAAGCCACCAGAGAGCUUUUUCAUUAGGCCAGAGGAAGAGACAGUUUAUAAUUACUCCCAGAGUCUUGUUCUUUUUGCAUGGAUGCCAGGAGGAGGAACCAGUUGCUGAGGAUGUAUGUAUAAGCAUGUACAUACAUAUAUGCAUAUGUGUGUGUCUGUUGCCGGAGGAGAUCAGAAGAGGAGGUAGACUCCUUAGAACUGGUUGGGAAUAAUUGUGAGCUGCCAUGUGGGUCUUCUGCAAGAACAAGUACUCUUAACCCCUGAGCCACCUCUCCAUUUCUCAGUCACAAGGCUGGUAAGUGACAGAGCCUUGACACAGACUGUGUGAUUCUCCAAAUAAGACGAUAUAGGUGCAAGCGAAACUGAGUGCCAGGAGAAAGGGCACUGUACAAGGGUGGC